UACGAAGGGGGCUAGCGUUGCUCGAAAUCACUGGGCGUAAAGCGCACGUAGGCGGGUCUUUAAGUCAGGGGUGAAAUCCUGGAGCUCAACUCCAGAACUGCCUUUGAUACUGAGGAUCUCGAGUCCGGGAGAGGUGAGUGGAACUCCGAGUGUAGAGGUGAAAUUCGUAGAUAUUCGGAAGAACACCAGUGGCGAAGGCGGCUCACUGGCCCGGUACUGACGCUGAGGUGCGAAAGCGUGGGGAGCAAACAGG
rnacentral:rRNA from 1 species